AGCGAACGCUGGCGGCAGGCUUAACACAUGCAAGUCGAGCGGGCACUUCGGUGUCAGCGGCGGACGGGUGAGUAACGCGUGGGAACGUGCCUUCUGGUUCGGAAUAACUCAGGGAAACUUGAGCUAAUACCGGAUACGCCCUUUUGGGGAAAGGUUUACUGCCGGAAGAUCGGCCCGCGUCUGAUUAGCUAGUUGGUGGGGUAAUGGCCUACCAAGGCGACGAUCAGUAGCUGGUCUGAGAGGAUGAUCAGCCACACUGGGACUGAGACACGGCCCAGACUCCUACGGGAGGCAGCAGUGGGGAAUAUUGACAAAUGGGCGCAAAGCUGAUCCAGCCAUGCCCGGCGUGAAGUGAAGAAGGCCUAAGGGUGUAAAGUUUUUUAUUCCG
rnacentral:rRNA from 1 species